ensembl:lncRNA
AAAGAUGUCAGCCCUCACCCCACAGGCUCAUUCCAAAACAUAUAUUAAAGGUUACCCAGACAACCUUAAUACUUCUAGCAACGUGACCUCGAGAACGACCUCUGGAGCACGAAGCUUACAGAGCCCCGGGGCCGUAUGUUCAGAUACCAUCUCCACGCCGUGGGUGGUAAAGCAGAGGGACCAGCAGUUAUGUGGCCACUCUACUCCUUAAUCCUUGUCUGUCUGAUUACCAUGGAGGGGAAUAAAAAGCCC